rnacentral:rRNA from 1 species
UACGUAGGGGGCGAACGUUGUCCGGAUUUAUUGGGCGUAAAGAGCUCGUAGGCGGCUCAGCAAGUCGGCCGUGAAAGUCCAGGGCUCAACCCUGGGAUGCCGAUCGAUACUGCCGGACUAGAGUCCGGAAGAGGCGAGUGGAAUUCCUGGUGUAGCGGUGAAAUGCGCAGAUAUCAGGAAGAACACCAAUGGCGAAAGCAGCUUCUGGGACGGUACUGACGCUGAGACGCGAAAGCGUGGGGAGCGAACAGG